rnacentral:rRNA from 1 species
CAUGCAAGUCGAACGGAGUCCUUCGGGACUUAGUGGCGGACGGGUGAGUAACGCGUGAGAAUCUGCCCUUAGGACGGGGACAACAGCUGGAAACGGCUGCUAAUACCCGAUGUGCCGAGAGGUGAAACAUUUUAUGGCCUGAGGAUGAGCUCGCGUCUGAUUAGCUAGUUGGUGGGGUAAGGGCCUACCAAGGCGACGAUCAGUAGCUGGUCUGAGAGGAUGAUCAGCCACACUGGGACUGAGACACGGCCCAGACUCCUACGGGAGGCAGCAGUGGGGAAUUUUCCGCAAUGGGCGCAAGCCUGACGGAGCAAGACCGCGUGCGGGAGGACGGCCUAUUGGUUGUAAACCGCUUUUGAUAGGGAAGAAGUUCUGACGGUACCUAUCGAAUCAGCAUCGGCUAACUCCGUGCCAGCAGCCGCGGUAAUACGGAGGAUGCAAGCGUUAUCCGGAAUUAUUGGGCGUAAAGCGUCCGUAGGUGGUUGUUCAAGUCUGCUGUUAAAGCGUGCGGCUUAACCGCAUACCAGCAGUGGAAACUGGGCGACUAGAGUGCGGUAGGGGUCAGGGGAAUUCCCAGUGUAGCGGUGAAAUGCGUAGAUAUUGGGAAGAACACCGGUGGCGAAAGCGCCUGACUGGACCUGCACUGACACUGAGGGACGAAAGCUAGGGGAGCGAAAGGGAUUAGAUACCCCUGUAGUCCUAGCCGUAAACGAUGGACACUAGGUGUUGCCCGUAUCGACCCGA